CAAAAUCACUGGGGGUGCCUAUUGGCUGAGAGGAGAAAACUCCGACCCUUUGAACCUGAUUCGGUUGAUACCGACGGAGGGAAGUGGCAUUCUUUUCAG
rnacentral:ncRNA from 2 species